rnacentral:rRNA from 1 species
UACAGAGGUCCCAAGCGUUGUUCGGAUUCACUGGGCGUAAAGGGUGCGUAGGUGGUUAGGUAAGUCUGAUGUGAAAUCUCUGGGCUCAACCCAGAAACUGCAUUGGAUACUAUCUAGCUAGAGGAGUGGAGGGGGGACUGGAAUACUUGGUGCAGCAGUGAAAUGCGUAGAUAUCAAGUGGAACACCAGUGGCGAAGGCGAGUCCCUGGACACUUCCUGACACUGAGGCACGAAAGCUAGGGGAGCAAACAGG